rnacentral:lncRNA from 1 species
UUAGGUGCCAAUAAAUAUGGGGCGGAAAUAAAUAAAUGGCAUGGACUUGGUGGCAUGGAGGACACCUUUCCCAUUUGAAACACUUCCAGGAUAAGAAAAUAAAUUAAAUAAAUUAGACCUAAUCUAAUUAGAUCAAAGGCAAUAGUUUAAGACUAGCUUAAAUUCAUUUAAACUAACCUAAUUAGAAACUUGAGUUAAUACAAUGUGUUAGCA